AUGAUAGCUGCGCAUAGAGAAGAUACUUACAGGUGGAGUGAGGCAAUAAGAUCCGGAUACGUGAGGCUUAAAGCAGCGUUGUACUUGGUGAAAUUGCUAGUUGCCGUGUCAAAUGAAACAUCAACACCAACUGACAGUUCUUUGCUUCCGAAUACACCAGAAAGGUUAACCAUAGGGUUCGGGUUCAGCCCAACACUUGCAUUGAUACCGGCGAAUUCAUGGAGAUACUGGAGUUCAAGCUGUCAAGGCAGAAAAAUACAAAUUAAAUCUCCUAUCUCAGUGAUCACCAUAUUGCAGAUUAGAAGUUUAAGCAAACGGAGUGGUAAGAAAAUUAUACCUUCCCUGACCUCUGGUCUGGAACAACCAAACUGA
rnacentral:rRNA from 1 species